rnacentral:rRNA from 1 species
UACGGAAGGGGCGAGCGUUGUUCGGAAUCAUUGGGCGUAAAGGGCGCGUAGGUGGUUCUGUAUGUCUACCGUGAAAGCGUACGGCUCAACCGUAUUUUGUCGGUAGAAACUGCAGGACUUGAGGCUGGGAGGGGCUGGUGGAAUUCCCUGUGUAGCGGUGAAAUGCGUAGAGAUGGGGGAGAACACUCGUGGCGAAAGGCGGCCAGCUAGACCAGUUCUGACACUGAGGCGCGACAGCGUGGGGAGCAAACAGG